AUUGAACGCUGGCGGCAGGCCUAACACAUGCAAGUCGAACGGUAACAGGAAGAAGCUUGCUUCUUUGCUGAUGAGUGGCGGACGGGUGAGUAAUGUCUGGGAAACUGCCUGAUGGAGGGGGAUAACUACUGGAAACGGUAGCUAAUACCGCAUAACGUCGCAAGACCAAAAAGGGGGACCUUCGGGCCUCUUCCCAUCGGAUGUGCCCAGAUGGGAUUAGCUAGUAGGUGGGGUAACGGCUCACCUAGGCGACGAUCCCUAGCUGGUCUGAGAGGAUGACCAGCCACACUGGAACUGAGACACGGUCCAGACUCCUACGGGAGGCAGCAGUGGGGAAUAUUGCACAAUGGGCGCAAGCCUGAUGCAGCCAUGCCGCGUGUAUGAAGAAGGCCUUCGGGUUGUAAAGUACUUUCAGCGGGGAGGAAGGGAGUAAAGUUAAUACCUUUGCUCAUUGACGUUACCCGCAGAAGAAGCACCGGCUAACUCCGUG
rnacentral:rRNA from 1 species